rnacentral:rRNA from 1 species
GACGGAGGGAGCAAGCGUUGUCCGGAAUAACUGGGCGUAAAGAGCUCGUAGGCGGGAGCCUAAGUCCGGGAGUAAAUCCACCAGCUUAACUGGUGAAUCAUCCUGGAUACUGGGUUUCUUGAGGACAGGAGGGGAAAGGGGAAUUCCUGGUGUAGCGGUGAAAUGCGUAGAUAUCAGGAGGAACACCUGUGGCGAAGGCGCCUUUCUGGACUGUUCCUGACGCUGAGGAGCGAAAGCUAGGGGAG